rnacentral:rRNA from 1 species
UACGUAGGGUGCAAGCGUUGUCCGGAAUUAUUGGGCGUAAAGAGCUCGUAGGCGGUCUGUCGCGUCUGCUGUGAAAACUCAGGGCUUAACCCUGAGCUUGCAGUGGGUACGGGCAGACUAGAGUGCGGUAGGGGAGACUGGAAUUCCUGGUGUAGCGGUGAAAUGCGCAGAUAUCGGGAGGAACACCAGUGGCGAAGGCGACUACCUGGCCCAUUCUUGACGCUGAGGCGGCGAAAGCUAGGGGAGCGAACGGG